rnacentral:rRNA from 1 species
CGGGGGAGCAAGCGUUGUUCGGAUUUACUGGGCGUAAAGGGCGCGUAGGCGGCCACUGCAAGUCGGUUGUGAAAUCUCCGGGCUUAACUCGGAAAGGUCAAUCGAUACUGCAGGGCUAGAGUGCAGAAGGGGCAACUGGAAUUCUCGGUGUAGCGGUGAAAUGCGUAGAUAUCGAGAGGAACACCUGCGGCGAAGGCGGGUUGCUGGGCUGACACUGACGCUGAAGCGCGAAAGCUAGGGGAGCGAACGGGAUUAGAUACCCCGGUAGUCCUAGCCUUAAACGAUGAAUGCUUGGUGUCUGGGGUUUUAUAGUCCCCGGGUGCCGUCGCUAACGCUUUAAGCAUUCCGCCUGGGGAGUACGGUCGCAAGACUG